rnacentral:tmRNA from 1 species
GGGGGUGACCGGCUUUGACGGUCUGUACCUUGAAAGACGUGCGACGCAGUGCACGCUCGUAUGACACUGUAAUCCGUCCGAGCAACCAAACUUGCCAAGAACACUCUUGCAAGCGCAACGAAGUCUCCUUACUUCGGUAAGGUCGGCGACAUUGCGUUCGCCUACGCGACGGCUCGAGCGUAAGCUCGCCAUCGCCUCGCGCGACGUUCAUCUUCUCUCGGCGUUCACAGCGUAGGAGAUGGGCGGAAUUAUCUGUGAACUCGGUGCCCGGCCUCCCGUCCGGCGCAUUUAAAUAAGGGAUCGGGCAGGAAUGGUUUCGCCGGCGUUCCUCGCAUCCUGCCUCAAAGCUAACGUCGACUAUGCGUCGUAGACUCGCUUUCUUGGCCAGAUUCGGACGGGGGUCCAAUUCCCCCCGCCUCCACAA